AUUUUUUUCUAUUUCUUUUUGUUUGUUUUAGGUUGUUGCAGCUUCAUCUUCCCAUGAAUCAAUCCCUACCGUAGAUUGGAUUAGCCAAUUAGAGGUUGUAGGCAAAGACAGAUGAUGGCUAAAUGGAGGAAUUUCUUUUAUGUGUUCAGAACAUUUUCAACAUUUUAUUAUAAAUAUUAAACGUUUUUCAUUGUAAAGUAAUACAAGUUAUUUAGUAUUCAUUUUUAA